UACGUAGGGGGCGAGCGUUGUCCGGAUUUAUUGGGCGUAAAGAGCGUGUAGGCGGCCAGGUAGGUCUGCUGUGAAAACUCGAGGCUCAACCUCGAGACGUCGGCGGAAACCAUCUGGCUAGAGUCCGGAAGAGGAGAGUGGAAUUCCUGGUGUAGCGGUGAAAUGCGCAGAUAUCAGGAAGAACACCCGUGGCGAAGGCGGCUCUCUGGGACGGUACUGACGCUGAGGCACGAAAGCGUGGGGAGCGAACAGG
rnacentral:rRNA from 1 species